rnacentral:lncRNA from 1 species
GGUUUCCCUGCUAUGUUUUGUCACACAUCAUUGCUGGGAGAGUUCAGUGCUAUCCAAGUGACUCCCCCGGGAGAGGACAACUGGAAAUUUAUGCCUGGUGUCUUCCUGGACUCCGACCUAUGCACCUUUUUCCUUGGAUGAUUUUAACCUGUCUCCUUUUGCUGCAAUGAACCAUAACCAUGAGUAUAUCAGCUUUUCUAAUUUUUGUGAGUCCCUCAAGUGAAUUAUCAAACCUAAGGUAGUUUUGGGACCCCCAUCACAGAGAGUCAAACAGGGGCAGGGCAAGAAGAGCUGCUUUUCCUGGAAGGCUAAUGAGUCUGAACUUCGCCCUGGAGGUAAUCGUUAUAGUAACUCCAGGCUCUAACCUGGAGCUGACAUGAUAAGGUCAAAUGUACACCUCUAGAAGACUUCCGACUGCAGAGGGGAAUGGAUGGGGGAGCUGAGGGAGGAGAGCUGAAGCAGGAAGACCAUGGCCUGGAAAGAGAUGGCUGAACCAGUCCAGGAUCACAAGAAAGGCAUCAGCACCUUCUGUGAAAUGGGGAGCCAUGCAGAGGAGGUGCCCAGGUGGCGAGGAGUCCAUGUCAGCUGCCGUCAUCCACACCACAGAUCAGACAUGGCAAAGAGUGGCCAGGCCUUCUGAGUGAAGGUGAUCCAACCUGUCACCAAGCCUAAGGGCAAAUCCUGGCUGUGCUGUGAUGGCUCCAACAACCCCAAACAGCAGCGCAGAGGCUGCAGCCGCCCUCGGAGGCAACACUGGGAAACGCUCAUUAGCAGCCUUCCAUUGCUCACCCGCCCCAUCCCACCUCUGUGCAUCCCAGAUCAUCAGCGAAGUGCACAGCUGGCUUCCAUCCUCGGAGCCUUCCUCCUUCAUUUGCCUAUUCAACAGUUACAAAGGCCUGAGUUGCAAAGGGGCUUACAACCCAUUCCACCCAGAAGAAAGAGAACUGAGACUGAGCAAGACAGAGAAUAGGUGGAAGGGGAGAUGAAACCAAGCAAUCUCUAGAUCCCAAAUGGGGACCCUGAUGUAGCAAGAGCCUCUUUUAAAUCCUUUUCCAAUAGGGUAAUAUGGAAAAUAGUUGAAAGCACAAGCCAAGUGGGGCUGGAAUCCCAAAUGGGCCAUUUACUAGCUGUGUGACUGGACAAGUAAUUUCAUAUUUCUGGGCCUCGAUUUUUCUCAUCUGUAAAAUAGAAAAAAAAAAACCUAUGUCAUAACGUUGAUAAACAGAUUAGAUGAGCUAAGAUCUAAAAUGUCUUCUAUUCAGUAGGUGCUCAAUAAAUGUUAUCUAUUUUUAC